UUUAGACUGGAAGGACCUUAAAGAUCAUCUAGUUGCAACUGGUCCACUUGAGACAUUCAGCAUUUGUAAACCCAACCAGUCCAUUACAGGAUAAUUACAGAAUUACGGAACGGUUCAGGCUGGAAGGGACCUUAAAGAUCACCUAGUUCCAGCAGCCUGGCAUAGGUAGGAAGACCUUUCACUAGACCAGGUUGCUCAAAGCCCCAUCGAACCUGGCCUUAAACAUUUCCAGGCAUGGAGAGUCCACCCUUUACCCUGAAAAGGGAGUACCUUUACAGGGGGGGCUGGGAUUUUCUGCCUGGACUUCCGCAC